AUGUCACUGCUGUCUAGAUGGGUGUUUGGCUGCUGGAAGGCUCAUGUUGGAAGGCUCAUAGCCUGCACAGGAACCUGCAGCACUCAGAAAUCCGGUUCAGUGGCACCAAGGGACAUCGGCAGGUGCUGCUGCCACGUGUGCCCAGGCAGCAGGUCCAGGCACAGGUCAGGCUGCCUGGGGAAGCAGCCAGCCUGGGUCACUUGCUCAGUAAUUUCAGCAAAUGGUGAUGGUGCAGCGUUCCUCCUGGCCCCAAGCCAUGGCAGUGCAGUGCCACCACAGGUGACCUCCACCUUGUGCUGCCGUGCAGCGCUUGGAGCAAGCUGACAACAGGAGCAAGCAGAGGUGAACUUUGAAGAAGCUGAAGCGUCUGGCCGGCCCCGAGCUGCCACUGCUGCAGUGAGCUCCUUUCCCGGCUGGAGGCUGCGCUGCCGGCCCGCAGGAGGCUCCACAUGGGGCGGUGGGAGCAGAGCCUGGCUCUGCCCCAUCGCCCCUCCUGCCCUGCGAGCAUGGAGCAGCACUGCAGCCUCUGACAGCAGCUGAGAAGGCUACCAGGAGGCAGGUCAAGGGUCUUUCUUCUGGAGAUCUUCAAGCUGGAAUCUGGGUUAGAAAAAGUUCCAUCUCAAGCAGUGAUUAAGAAUGGGACUGAAAUGAGAUAAACAGCGAGUUGUCAGCAGCUUCAGAAGCGAUUCCUGCCCUAGGGGAAGUGCCAUUCGUCUGUUUUGCUGUGUACUGGGUCAGAGCUUAUGCUAAAAUAUUGCAGAUUGUCAGCUUUGUCUGUGGCUUUGGGAAUAUUUCAGUGGCCCUUGCUGCAUGCGCUGGCAUUCUAAUGGAGCUUUAUGAAAGGGCUUUUUUGGUGUAAUCCAUCAACAGAUAAGCCCAGGGAGAAAGAGCAGGAGAAUUCAGCUCCUCUCCCAAGAGAGGCAGUGAUGAAGAUGCAUGCAUUAGGCAUCUCCUCUCCCUUUGGUACACCCUGCAUAGCAGGGCCUCCAAGGAUCUCGUCAAGCACAGUGCUAGCUGAGUGGGCGUCCUGCCUGACAAAAGCUUUUCUUAAUAGCCUUUUUCACUUACAUGUAGAGAAUAAAGUUCUUGACUUUAUCUUUCUUCUUCCA
rnacentral:lncRNA from 1 species